CCGCUGCCUCUUUUACCUGUCCCUUGUUAGGUGGUGCGCUUGUCCCGUGGGAAUCGUUCGGGACUCCUGACUCUGCCGGCUUCUCUCGGUUUCUGUUCUGUGUACAUUGUGGUGGGAUCGGCUGCAAAGAGCAGGCUAAAAAGCAACCCUGAGAGUAUUGGGCAAAAGAUCCAGGAAAGAAGAUGAUUUAAUAGAAAACCUUAUUCCUCUAACGCAGUCGUAUUCAGCAUUCUGCAGCUGACGCUUCUUCACAGCAUGGUGGCUGGCUUCCAACAGUCCCAGGAGACAGAGUCGGGCUAUGUCACCUUUUCUAACCUAGCUUCGGAACGCCUGCGGUCUCCCUCCCACCAAACCUGUUACGGAGUCGCAAAGGCCCAGUCGGUUCGAGAGGACAGGAAAUAGACUCCAGCUCUUGAUGGAAAAGAGGCAAGAUUCUGGUGGCACGUAAGGAUUGGAAACACCAUUGCAGCCAUUUGGGGAAAUCCAACCUAUCAAAACCAGCAGCAAAUAAAUAUAAUUUUCAUAAAACAUAAGGGCGCCAAAAUCAUAAAAUACGUGGGGAAAAAUUCAUGAAAGAUGUGCAAGACCUCCACAUUGAAAACAAGGGACCCAAAGAAGAAAAUCAAAGACAUUACCUGAUCUCAAGUCUUAUUGUCGUGCUAAUGCUGAUCAAGACAGCGUAGUAUAGACAGGUGCAGAGACACGUCACUGAAACAGAGAGUCCAGAAAUACCACUAAAUAACUCUGACAAAGGCACCCAAACAAUUCAAUAGGGAAAAUAGUCUUUUCGAUAAAUGGUGCUAAAACUUGAUGUUCAUGUGGAAAAAAAUUAAGCCUUGAUCCCUUAACCAUAACACAAUAAUUAACUCAAAAUGGAUCGUAAACGUGAGUGUAAAAAAACUAGCCAUGUACAGCUUCUAGAAGAAACCAUUUCUUAGACAAGACCUGGAAAGUACCAUAAAAGAAAAAACUUUUAUCAGACAUCACCAAAAAUAAAACUUCUGUUCAUCAAAAAACAACACCAAGAAAAUAAACAGGCAGGCACAGUCCAGGAGAAAACAUUCACAAUGCACACACGUCUGACAAAGGACCUGUUUCUAGAAUAUAUGAGUAACUCCUACAACUCAAUACUCCCAAGACAAAUCUAAUUCGUUAAUAAUCAGGAAAAUGCAGAUUCAAACACGAUGACAUAUCAGUACACAGCAGGAUGCUUAGAAAUAAAGAUUAACAACUCCAAAUACUGUAGGAGUGGCGAUACUUGGCUGGUGGGAGUGUCCAAUGCUAUAACCACUUUGAAAAACUCAUAGUUUCCUACACAGUCACAUAUCCACCUUCCCUAUGACCCAGAAAUUCUACGUAUUUGCCCAAGAGAAAUUUACACAUAUUUACAAAAAGACUUACAAAUGAGUAUUAAUAACAGUGGGGCACCUGGGUAGCUCAGGUGGUUAUGUGUCCAACUCGAUUUUGGUUCAG